rnacentral:rRNA from 1 species
GACGAACGCUGGCGGCGUGCUUAACACAUGCAAGUCGAACGGAAAGGCCCUGCUUUUGUGGGGUGCUCGAGUGGCGAACGGGUGAGUAACACGUGAGUAACCUGCCCUUGACUUUGGGAUAACUUCAGGAAACUGGGGCUAAUACCGGAUAGGAGCUCCUGCUGCAUGGUGGGGGUUGGAAAGUUUCGGCGGUUGGGGAUGGACUCGCGGCUUAUCAGCUUGUUGGUGGGGUAGUGGCUUACCAAGGCUUUGACGGGUAGCCGGCCUGAGAGGGUGACCGGCCACCUUGGGACUGAGAUACGGCCCAGACUCCUACGGGAGGCAGCAGUGGGGAAUAUUGCACAAUGGGCGGAAGCCUGAUGCAGCAACGCCGCGUGCGGGAUGACGUCCUUCGGGUUGUAAACCGCUUUCGCCUGUGACGAAGCGUGAGUGACGGUAAUGGGUAAAGAAGCACCGGCUAACUACGUG